rnacentral:lncRNA from 1 species
GCGUGUAAUGAUGGUUUCCAAGUGUCGUAGGUCCCUCAAGAAACAUCUCUAACUAGGGCAUUACAUGAUUGAAUCGUUGCUGCCGUUAGAUUUUUGCUUAACUUUUUCGCGUUUUCAGUUUCUGCGUUAGGUCGUAUUAUAAGUUCCUCUUUCCACGUUUCUGAAUUUUGGAUUCUGUAUUGGGCCUUGCGUUAAAACCUAUUGGGUUGUGCUUUAGUUUUGGGUCUCAUUUUAAGGGCUGUUUUUAAAAUUAUAAUUUGGGGGUUACUCCCUGUACUUCUCCAAUUCCAUCCACCACCUCCCAUUCCAUUUUUAUUCUUUGUUCUAUUUUUUCUAUUCCAAUUUUAUCUUUUAGCAAAAAUUUAUAUUUAGAAAUAAAAUUUUAUGAUUUUAUUCUCC